AUUGAACGCUGGCGGCAGGCCUAACACCUGCCCGUCGAGCGAGCGGCGGACGGGUGAGUAAUGUCUGGGAAACUGCCUGAUGGAGGGGGAUAACUACUGGAAACGGUAGCUAAUACCGCAUAACGUACGAUGUGCCCAGAUGGGAUUAGCUAGUAGGUGGGGUAACGGCUAACCGAGGCGACGAUCCCUAGCUGGUCUGAGAGGAUGACCAGCCACACUGGAACUGAGACACGGUCCAGACCACUACGGGAGGCAGCAGUGGGGAAUAGUGCAAAAGGGGCGCAAGCCUGAUGCAGCCAUGCCGCGUGUGUGAAGAAGGCCUUCGGGUUGUAAAGCACUUUCAGCGGGGAGGCGUUACCCGCAGAAGAAGCACCGGCUAACUCCGUGCCAGCAGCCGCGGUAAUAC
rnacentral:rRNA from 1 species